rnacentral:rRNA from 1 species
CUACGGGCCGCUGCAGUGGGGAAUAUUGCACAAUGGAGGAAACUCUGAUGCAGCAACGCCGCAUGGAGGAUGACACUUUUCGGAGCGUAAACUCCUUUUAUAUAGGAAGAAGAUGACGGUACUAUAUGAAUAAGCGCCGGCUAACUCCGUGCCAGCAGCCGCGGUAAUACGGAGGGCGCAAGCGUUACUCGGAAUCACUGGGUGUAAAGAGCGUGUAGGCGGAUUAAAAAGUCAGAAGUGAAAUCCUAUAGCUUAACUAUAGAACUGCUUCUGAAACUCUUAAUCUAGAAUAUGGGAGAGGUAGAUGGAAUUUCUGGUGUAGGGGUAAAAUCCGUAGAGAUCAGAAGGAAUACCGAUUGCGAAGGCGAUCUACUAGAACAUUAUUGACGCUGAGACGCGAAAGCGUGGGGAGCAAACAGGAUUAGAUACCCCAGUAGUC